CCUACGGGAGGCAGCAGUGGGGAAUAUUGCACAAUGGGGGAAACCCUGAUGCAGCGACGCCGCGUGAGGGAAGAAGUAUUUCGGUAUGUAAAGCUCUAUCAGCAGGGAAGAAAUACCGACCUUUGGGUUGCCAGACGGUACCUGGUUAAGAAGCGCCGGCUAACGACGUGCCAGCAGCCGCGGUAAGACGUAGGGGGCAAGCGUUAUCCGGAUUUAUUUGGGGUAAAGGGAGCGUAGACGGCAGCGCAAGUCUGAAGUGAAAUGUCGGGGCUUAACCCCGGAACUGCUUUGGAAACUGUGUAGCUAGAGUGUAGGAGAGGUAAGUGGAAUUCAUAGUGUAGCGGUGAAAUGCGUAGAGAUUAGGAAGAACACCAGUGGCGAAGGCGGCUUACUGGACUGUAACUGACGUUGAGGCUCGAAAGCGUGGGGAGCAAACAGGAUUAGAUACCCGGGUAGUC
rnacentral:rRNA from 1 species